CGACGCCUCUAGAAGACGUGGUCAGCUUUUCUCCUUCCAGUCAAGGCGGUGGAAGAGGUGAGACGUUUCUUCUUACCCAGGAUCCAUCUCUUCCCGCAUGCCAUGCCAGCUCCACGCCAUGGGAGGUCUCCGCGGCCACAACCCUACUUGCCCUGGGCUCUCCCCUGAGCGUUGUGGCCUUCUCCUGCUCUCCCCUCCCCUCCUCUCCCUCCCCUCUCCCUCCAUCCCCCCUCUGAUUUGGAUCUUUGAGACGGAGCAGUGGUAGUUGAUCGUCUUUGUCUGUUGGUCCUCCUCCUAAUCUGCAUAUUGUUCUUGAUUUCUGCUUGAUUUGUGCUCUAAUGGUUGCGAUCUGUUGUAGCUUUGAGAUUGAAUUUUUGACCUGCAAGCUAUGUUGGUUGAGGCUCUUCAUGGCGGGUAUGACCCGGCCGAUGGUGAUGGAGCGGAACAAGACAUGGUCCUUGCCGAUCUUGAGCGCAGUUUUUUGGUUGAUUUGUGCUGUAAUGGCUUCAAUCUGUUGUAGCUUUGAGAUUGAAUUCUUGACCUGUAGGUUGUGUUGGUGAGGCGCUUCAUGGCGAGGAUGACCUGGCCGCCGGUGAUGGAGCGGAACAAGAACACACUUUUGGGACUGUUCAGCUCCCUCCUAAUAUCCUCAGCCACAAUAUAGUUUUUUUAACCAAUUGAUUCUUGACCUGCAGGAUGCAGUGGUUGAGGCACUUCACGGCGAGGCUAAACCAAAUGCUGCUGAUGGAGCAAGGCGUCACAGAAGGAGAUGAAGUUGUCCUGAUCGGUGACCUUGAUCAUGGCCGAUGGUUGAGGUGCUUCAUGGCGAGGAUGCCCCGGACACCGCUGAUGAAGCAGAACAAGGCAUCGUAGAGGGAGAUGAAGUUGUCCUGAUUGGUGACCUUGAGCAUGGUGAUGGUCUCCUCCUGCCAGAAUACCCUUAGCGACGCGGAGCCCCUUUUCUCCAAAAGCUCAUGUACGCUCUUCAUCAGCGUUGGCGUACCAAAGCCUUGCUUCUCCUCGGCAUGUUGGAAGAUAGCGCCCAGUCGCCGCUGCUGUUUCUCAUCCUUUUUAUUUGAUGUUGUUAAUCCUUGGGGUUUGCACAUGUUUGAUGACUCAUUGCUGUUAAUUAUAGCUGCAAGUAAAUUGGAAAAACAUCACUAGGUGGUACCAGUAGCGCAUAGCAAAUUUGCAAGUUCUCCUCAACAGCAACAACGCAAGAACAUGGUUAACAAGAAAAUUCUUGCAGAGAUUUUGGUAUGACUACCAUCGCAAGUAAGGUGAAUACUGCAUGAUUGAUUGAGUAUUAUUGGAUUUGUUA